ACGCUGCCUCCCUCUCUCUCUCCCCGAUCUAGAUCCACGCCCCGCGCCCAUGCCCCCAACCCCACCCCCUUCUCCUUCCACCGGCCUUCUUCCUCGCCGCAGGUGCCACUGCUCGUCUCCUCUCCGGUGAGUGCGGAGGAGCCACCGCGGUCGAGGCAGCCGCCGGCUGGAGCCCCGCCUCUUCUCCUCUCCGGUCAACAUGGAGGUCCGCCGCAUCCAACCUCCUGCUGCCUGCUCACCGUCGGCGCCCUCCUCGUCUUCUCCUCCGCUCCCCCUCGCCGCCGCGCCCCAUCACCGGCCCGCCCUCCAACCCUAGUAGCGCCACCACCUCCUUCGUCGCCUCACUCGACCACUUCCUCGACUCCCCCCACCGCGUCGCCACCUCCUCCGCGGCGCCCGGGGACCUCGACGCCGCGAUCCAGAGGGAGGAGUAGUCCCGGCUGUACGGGGACCCCCGGGGCGCGUGGCCGGCGGCGCCCGCGCCGCUCAGGGUCUACGUGUACGAGUUGCCACGCCGCCGCCCCCGAGGGACCCCCCUCCCCGCCGCAGCUGGCUCUGCUAGACUGCCCCGGAGCGGGGGAGAUCUGCGCCGACCUUGGCUCCCCCCUCCUCCUCUGGUGACGAACCCUAACUCUCCCGGUCAUAAACUAGCACAACUAACAGAUGAGGAGCUGCUGAUUGAAGCUCGGCCAUUUGAUGUGAACAUUUUGCAUUCCUUCCGUGCUUAAGAUGGCGGUUGGACUAACAUCCCAGCUGUUCAAGGAGUUACUGCUAGCAACAGAUUCGACCUGCUCAGGCUGUUCAGGGACUCGUACCGCGACACCGCCAACCUCACCUCCAACGGGAGCCCCGUGCACAGGCUCAUCAAGCAGGGCGAGGCCGGAGAUGUCUGUGCGGUGAUGUCCCUGGGGUGGCGCCACUGUGCCCGACGCUUGCCCUGAUCGCCGCAGUGGUGCUUCGGUGGCUUCCAGAUCCUCUCCUGGAUGCGGUGAUGGUCACACCACAGCCGUGGUGUGGCUGAGUCUCCUCUACAGCUACAACCUGCCUCUGGUGCCCAGUUUGUGCUCGCUACCGAAGGAGCUCCAUGUUGAAGAAGAUUGAAGAGCACCAGGGUUAACACCAGGGCAGGUUGUAGAGCUUGUAAAUGUAUAGAGCUUGUAAAUGUAUCACGUGUAGAGCUUGUAGAGCUUGUAUAUGUUAGAGCUUAUUAUGUGUAGAGCUUGUAAAGUAUAUGUUAUUUGUACAAUAGGAGCUCCGUACUGAAUCUGGCUGAUAAUAUUUGGAGUA